AUACGGAGGGUGCGAGCGUUAAUCGGAAUUACUGGGCGUAAAGCGUACGUAGGCGGUUGGUUAAGUUAGAUGUGAAAGCCCCGGGCUUAACCUGGGAACUGCAUUUAAAACUGGCGAACUAGAGUUGAGUAGAGGGGAGUGGACUUUCAGGUGUAGCGGUGAAAUGCGUAGAGAUCUGAAGGAACACCAGUGGCGAAGGCGACUCCCUGGACUCGAACUGACGCUGAGGUACGAAAGCGUGGGUAGCAAACGGGAUUAGAAACCCGAGUAGUCC
rnacentral:rRNA from 1 species